CAGAAAUAUAGAUUAUCAGAUGAGAAUAUAAUAUCUAAGCAACCUUGGCAGUAAACUCUAGUCGUCUUGGUAUCUCGCUAAAUCUUACUUAAUGACAUUAUAACAGUUUAUAGCUUGUAUUUUUGUAAUGCUAUAUAAUACCAGUGUAUUGUUCUAUUGUUGUAUUGAGCACGAGUUAAAACUAACCUUCAAAUUAGCUUGCCAUAUUGCUUUGCGACGUUGCUCUUCGUUCGUAUCUACAUAGCUUUUACAAUGCACCAAUUUCCAAACUUGCCAUUGUCCUUCGCUACCAAGAGGCUUGGUUAAUUCUGCUUUUAUCGGUGCCGUGCUAAAUAUCCAUGCACAGCCAAACAAUACGAAUAAAACUCGUACACAACUCAUCGUGCUGACACUAAAAUAUUCAUAUUUACGAUUGAAAACCGACUGCUCUGUAUAUUAGGAUUUCAGCAUUGUAAACCAUCGAAGCGUGGCUAGAUGUUUUAUGCAUAUAUUUAAACAAGAAUAACAAAAUAGGCCCGUUUUGCAUUAAACUAGGAGUAAAUCAAAACAGUGAGCAGUCAUUCAGUCGAAUGGCAAGGAAAACAGCUGAAUUUUAUACUAUCAUUGCAUGCAAGGUUGAAAUAUAUUUCUCAUUUUUUACUCGACACUUGCCAAAAUAACCAGUUUUGAAAGGUAAAACAUACUAGUUAUGGAAUAUUACAAAAAAGUGAAACAACUAGUGGUGGGGGUCAAAUCUGAACCACGCAAAUAAUUUUGAUAGUGUAGUAUUUAUUCUUGCAUGUUUAUAUUGUAAAGUACGUGUAAAGGACUAAAGUCUAGUGUAAAAUGGCUGGAGUCACUUUUGACAUUCAUUACCACUAUCACUACCUCGCGCCGACCUGGUUUGCAUGAUUCAACUGACCAUGGUUCAAAUGAACCUCGCAAAUAAUUUUACAGUUGUGUAGUAUUUAUCCUGGCAUGUUUUAUAUAGUGUAAAUGCACUUUCUGGGCUUGGAUAAUUUUCAAACAUUUCUGGGGGGAUACCCUCACUAGAGGUUUCGCGGAACUUACUUCAUCU